UUACUCUGGUUUCUCUUCAAUCCUCGCUUAAAUCUUUCGCCUUUUACUAAAGAUUUCCGUGGAGAGGAACAUUAAAUGAGUCUAUAGACUUAUUUUUGUAACCCUACUUCCGUAGGGU
rnacentral:snRNA from 1 species